UCGUUUUGUUUUCACACUCCCCCACGUCGAGGAAAGCCUCACACGGCCGAAGAUCACGCCGCUGCCACAGCUGAAGGAGGCGGGCCUGACAGACACGAGAGCGACCAGACCUUCACAUUGGCGGGAGGGGGCGUCUCCCCGUUCCGCUGUUCUUUUCCACGUUUGGCGCCGUUCUCUUUUCAUUGGCUCCCGGUGAGCACCGGUGAUUGAGCGCAGGAGCGCAUCAGCCGUCCGUGCGUGGAAUCGCCCAAGAAGCAGCCGGCUUUGUAUUCCUCUUUACCGCUGCGUGCUGCUGGCAUACACCCCCUGCAAAUCUCGCAUAUAACAAUGGGCGCUGUCAAGUUUCAGCUUUACAAGACACUCGGUGUCCCCGUGGAAAGCUCUAUCGAGGAUAUCGCGCGUUCAUAUCGGCGUCUCGCACUCAAGUACCACCCAGACCGCAAUCCAGAGGGCGUGGAAAAGUUCAAGAGUAUCUCGAACGCCUAUGCCGUGCUGUCUGACCCUGAGCGACGCGCGGCGUACGACCUGACAGGCUUUGUCUCGGAUUCCGCAGAGUCACCGCACGCCAUGUCAGAUGAGGCGGCUCGCCAGCAGCGCUCUGUGGAGCUAGCGGAUCAAGUGCGCAACUUCUUUGCCACCUACGCUGGAUCUGCAGAAGAGCAGGCGGACGUCGUGCGCGGCUACGAAAAGUGCAAUGGAGACUUCAAAAAAAUGGUGCGAGAGUAUCUGCUCUUUGACAACGGCGUCGAGGCGGAGGUGCAGCGGCUGCAUCGUCUUGUGUCGACGCUGAUCGAGGUGGGGAAUCUAUCGCCGACGCCGGCGUGGGAGUCAACGAGCACUCCGGAGGCUAUCCUCAGGCUGGAGAAAGCCAUGCAUCGUGAGCGCCAGGAGGCGGAGAAGGUGUUGAAGGAUAUGGCCGGCAACGGUACCGGUGCAGCAGGCGCCGCCGACGGCGACCUUAGCAGCCUUCAAGUUAUGAUUCGGCAGCGACAGCAGUCUUCAUACGAGUCGAUGCUGAGCCGCCUCGAGAACAAGUACGUGACGAAGAGGAACAACGCACGAGAGUCGAGCAAGCGCACACGCGAGGCGGCACCGACCGCUCGCAAGGACGAACGUGCUUCCAAAAGGCACCGGAAAGCCUCUCAUCACCGGUAAGAAUGGCACAUGCGCGUAAAAGGCGAGUGCUUCAGGCAUCGAUCCUGGUAAUGUGGGUAGGCUCCCUCUCUGGACAGCUGUACUCUUCUGUCUCUUGUGCUAUUGCGGACGGUAUCGCUCAUGUCCAGACGCGUGUGGUCUUUCACCACAUCUUCUGACGCUACCACCGAAGUUUCCUGUGUGGCUUCUUGGCCAAUUCAUCGCUGUCCUCUGAGCCGGGAUGGCGGGCACAUCAUCGACACGAUCCCGCGUUUGCUUCAGACCUCCCUACCCCGUUUUUUUUUGUUUUCGCUGUUGUUGUUGUCGCCCUCUCCUUGUUUCAGACAUAGAG
rnacentral:misc_RNA from 1 species